AUCUGGCGGAGUGGUUAUUGAGCAAGACUAGGAACCUUGUUCCUUCGGGAGCACCAGUUCGAAUCUGGUCGACG